AAAGGCUAUUUAUUUGGGUAGGUGUACUGAUAUGCUCCAAACUGUUUUUUUUUUUUUUUUAGACAUGCUCUUAAAGAUUAAUCUGUAUCAUGAUGUAAAUUAUCGAGGUUUAUUUUCAAAGUCACACGAAGAAGCUUUCUUACUUCCAACAGCUGCAGCUAUCGUAAGGUUUCUUACUUACAACAGCAAUAGCUGUCAUAAAGAUGCAAAGAAUAGGAUUUAAAACGGGUGUUUUCGAGUUGGCGAUUAUGACAACUAAAUUUGAGUGAACCCUACAGAUCAUAAUCCAUUUAAAUCCGACUUAUUUGUCAAAGUUCAUAGUUCAUCAUUUCAGUAGCUCUGUUUUGUUUGACAAGGAAGUAAGCAAUGAAAUGGUUAUAAUGCUAAUGUGGUACACAAUGUCAACCAUAGUUUCAUACAAGUGACUAUUCCUUAAAACAAAUAAUACUUGGAUGGACUUGAUCACAGUGCUGGAAUUAUGAUGCGUGGAUGUGCCUGUCUCUAUUGAUGAUAUAUCUAGAACUUUGUGUGAUGACCAAAAAUUGCUUUUCUUUCCACUUGUGGCAUUGGGAAGCAUCAAAUGUGGCCGGUCUAUUUUGAUGAUAUAUCUAGAACUUUGUGUGAUGCCCAAAAAUUGCUUAUCAUUGCACUUGGAUGACACUCCAAAGAAAUUGUAAAUGGAAAUGUACUAUGCUUUGUGUGAGAAUCAUGAACAAUCAUUGCUCUUAUAUUGAUAUUUUUCCGCAAUUUCAGUGUUUGUUGUAUUCUCUUGCAAAUGUUUUUUUCUUGUGCCCCAGAGAGUGAGCUAAAUUCGCUCUAUUAUGCCUGUCUUGCAGAAUAUCCUACUGUCAUCUGUAGUUGGCAAAAUCUCUCGGGAGGAUCAAAUGCACGCAAUGUUGAGGUAAGCAACAUGUGAUUAUGUUUUUUUUUUUUUUUCAUCUUUUGCAACUUGACAAAAGAAAAACAAUAGACUAUUUAUUUUGGUAGGUGUACCGACAUGCUCUAAAAAAUUUUAUGUUAACAUGUUCUAACAGAUUAAUUUAUAUUAUAAUGUCAAUUAUCGAGAUCUUUAUUAAAGUCAACCUAAGAAGCUUUCUUACUUCGAGGAUCAGCACUGUGAAGAUACCAAAAUAGGAUUUAAAACAGGUGUUUUCGAGUUGGCGAAUAUGACAACUAAAUUUGAAUGAACCCUGCAGAUUAUAAUCUGAUUAAAUCUGACUUCGUUGUCAAAGUUCAAAGUCCAUCUCUCUUCUAUUUAAAUUCCCACACCAUCUCAAAGCACAUUUUCUUUUUCUUUGUUGUCAAGGAAAGGCGGAGAGAAGCAAUCGGGGAGAACUAUGCUUUGUCGCCUCGUUAAGUCAUCAUGAAUGCCUCACAUUUGCCACAAUGUAUUUUGAUUUAAGAUUGUGAGAAGGCCGUCAUUCAAUACCACUCGCAACCAUUUAUCUUGGGUAGGCAAGUCUUGUCACUAUAACCCCACCAAGCUGCCGAAGCUCCCGUCACGGACAAGACAAGAUUCAAGCAGUAUCAUCACUACUGGUUUAUCCUCGAGACCUCACGUUAGUAGAAUAUCAGCUAGUAUUAGUAGGCCACAAUCAUUGGCGAUUAGCGGUCCCCCAUAGUUCUGCAUUAAGAGAAUCAGAAGGGCCAUUCAGGAAUGACAGUCAUCAAAAGAAUCGCAUUUUUUAGACUUGGAAUGGGAAAUACCCUGGUAUGUCUUCUUGUUGAAUUUCGGUUGCAGUCGAGUAUGUGUAUAAUUUGUAUAUUUGAUUACUCCUGUAGUUGUCUAUUUCGCACGACAAAGUAAUAUGUACGGGGGCUAUCUGAUUUUCUCAUCCUAUUUUCAUUUUUUUUCUUUUU
rnacentral:lncRNA from 1 species